UACGAAGGGUCCAAGCGUUAUCCGGAUUUAUUGGGUUUAAAGGGUGCGUAGGCGGCUUAUUAAGUCAGUGGUGAAAGCCUGCAGCUUAACUGCAGAACUGCCAUUGAUACUGAUGAGCUUGAGUAUAGUUGAGGUGGGCGGAAUGUGUCAUGUAGCGGUGAAAUGCUUAGAUAUGACACAGAACACCGAUUGCGAAGGCAGCUCGCUAAACUAUAACUGACGCUGAGGCACGAAAGCGUGGGGAACGAACAGG
rnacentral:rRNA from 1 species